rnacentral:lncRNA from 1 species
AGCUGGCAAACUAUUCUGUAUCUGGUUUGGACUGAACGCAAUAACAGGAUCCAUGGGAAUGAAUUCAAGCCUCCUUCUGUACUUCUUCAUCAAUUAGACCAGGUGAUCAGAAACAUAGUCGCAAGCUAUCGCUCCCAAUGCGGCUGAGUCUUAUGAUCUCCUCUUCAUCCGGUUCUCUUCGAUCGUAAGCUGACCACCAUGAUCGCUGUAUCUCUGUCUUCUUCGUUAACA